rnacentral:rRNA from 1 species
UUGACAUUAAMCYUAAAGCGCCAAUGAAAGAGAAGGUUCUGCCUCGUGCGGACCGAGGGAAGAUGGGCCGCGCUGCUGUGCGGCUCCCCAUUCCCGGGGCGUCUCGUUCUCAUUGCGAGUUGAGGCGCACCCAGAGGGUACACGUUGGGACCCGAAAGAUGGUGAACUAUGCCUGGCCAGGACGAAGUCAGGGGAAACCCUGAUGGAGGUCCGUAGCGAUUCUGACGUGCAAAUCGAUCGUCGGAGCUGGGUAUAGGGGCGAAAGACUAAUCGAACCAUCUAGUAGCUGGUUCCCUCCGAAGUUUCCCUCAGGAUAGCUGGUGCUCGAACGAGUCUCAUCCGGUCAAGGGAAUGAUUAGAGGCCUUGGGGGCCGAAACGACCUCAACCUAUUCUCAAACUUUAAAUGGGUGAGAUCUCCGGCUUGGUUAAAACAUUUUUGAAGGCSCGAGAAUAAUUUUCUUGGAUCGGAAUGGCMAGUGGGCCACUUUUGGU